AAUCAACGCUGGCGGCGCGCUUAACACAUGCAAGUCGAACGAGAAAGGGAGCAAUCCUGAGUAAAGUGGCGCACGGGUGAGUAACACGUGGGUAAUCUACCCUCUGGUGGGGAAUAACUCUGGGAAACCGGAGCUAAUACCGCAUAAGACCGGGAGGUGAAAGGGCGAAAGUUCGCCGGAGGAGGAGCCCGCGGCUGAUUAGCUAGUUGGUAGGGUAAGAGCCUACCAAGGCUGAGAUCGGUAGCCGGCCUGAGAGGGCACACGGCCACACUGGCACUGAAACACGGGCCAGACUCCUACGGGAGGCAGCAGUGGGGAAUCUUGCACAAUGGAGGAAACUACUGAUGCAGCGACGCCGCGUGAGUGAUGAAGCCCUUCGGGUGU
rnacentral:rRNA from 1 species